UACGAAGGGGGCUAGCGUUGCUCGGAAUUACUGGGCGUAAAGGGCGCGUAGGCGGACAGUUUAGUCAGAUGUGAAAUUCCCGGGCUUAACCUGGGGGCUGCAUUUGAUACGUGUUGUCUUGAGUUCGGAAGAGGGUCGUGGAAUUCCCAGUGUAGAGGUGAAAUUCGUAGAUAUUGGGAAGAACACCGGUGGCGAAGGCGGCGACCUGGUCCGACACUGACGCUGAGGCGCGAAAGCGUGGGGAGCAAACAGG
rnacentral:rRNA from 1 species